rnacentral:rRNA from 1 species
UACGAAGGGGGCUAGCGUUGUUCGGAAUUACUGGGCGUAAAGCGCGCGCAGGCGGCUAUCCAAGUCAGUGGUGAAAGCCCGGAGCUCAACUCCGGAACUGCCAUUGAAACUGUUUAGCUUGAGGAUGAGAGAGGUGAGUGGAAUUCCCAGUGUAGAGGUGAAAUUCGUAGAUAUUGGGAAGAACACCGGUGGCGAAGGCGGCUCACUGGCUCAUUACUGACGCUCAGGCGCGAUAGCGUGGGGAUCAAAACAGG